rnacentral:rRNA from 1 species
GUGUCAGCCGCCGCGGUAAUACGUAGGGCGCAAGCGUUGUCCGGAAUUAUUGGGCGUAAAGAGCUCGUAGGCGGUUUGUCGCGUCUGCUGUGAAAACCUAAGGCUCAACCUUGGGCUUGCAGUGGGUACGGGCAGACUAGAGUGCGGUAGGGGUGACUGGAAUUCCUGGUGUAGCGGUGGAAUGCGCAGAUAUCAGGAGGAACACCGAUGGCGAAGGCAGGUCACUGGGCCGCAACUGACGCUGAGGAGCGAAAGCAUGGGGAGCGAACAGGAUUAGAAACCCCCGUAGUCC